ensembl:lincRNA
AUUCUGGUCUCUUGCAGCUGUGCCCAACUUCCCCAAGUCACAAAAUCCAGAUAUGGGAAGGACUUCAGGACAGGGUGUAGAAGGCCUGGAUUCUGAUUCUAUGCCACCACAAGCCUUGAGUGUGUCACUUAAAUGCCAAAUCUCACCUUAUACCUUUGGAAAACUCAUGGUCUAGAUGAGUUCCUGAGUCACUCUCACUCAACCACACCACAGCCUGAUACGGAGGACCAAAUCCUGAUCUCUGGAAUCUUCCAUGCUCCACUGGUGCCCACGUUGACUCCUGUGGCCUUUUUAAAGCUGGAUCCUGGGGCCAUUCCCAGAUGUGCCAAAGGUCUAGGGAGAAGCCCCACUGAGGAGAAUGGGGAGGAAGACACCACCCACCCUGCUCCUCAAAACCUGGAAGAGGAAUAACAAGUGAGACUAGAAAAUACUGAAUAGUCUCCCUGGGGAGAAAAACGACAUCCACACUCAGGCUGGCUUUGGCCUUUGUGGGGAGAGUCCAAGAUCAGACAAAGGGUGUCUGAGAAAUAAGAUCUAUCACUUAAAUAUUCAGUUCUCCAAAAUGUCUACAAUUUAAUUAAACAACAGAGUUGAUCUUCUAGCUCUUGAGGAGCUCUUUUUAAUUAAACUUUGCAUUUCUUCUCUCUGCUCUGCUGAGGCAUUCCAGGGUGGCAUUUGGCUUUGAAUGAGCAGUCAUUCUGGCCACCCACAAUGGUCUGGAAAAGCCCCACUGCUGAGUUAACAAAAUUCUUCAAUGAGAAUAUCAUCGACUUUUCAUUUUCACCGAUAUCCAGAAACUUUCACUAAUGUUAAUGAAGCGUGUGUGUUAUUUUAUUCCUUUUGUGGCUGUCUGCAAAAUACCUCUAUGUAGAACUCAGAUGUUGACUAAGUUUCAGGCCAGAUUUCAGUUCUUCCAUCUGCAAAAUGGCGUCACAACGUUGACUCUUCAUGCAAAAUGGUUUCACACUUUGAGCAAAGAAUAAAAAGCGCAUGACAGCAUGUGUGGUGUGACAUCUAAAACAUGGCAUCAUGAGAAGCCUGGAUACCAAUCGCUCUACAUUACAGUGGGAAAGGUGCCACUGCAGAAAUUGCUCAAAUCUAAGAAGCAACUUUGAUGCUCAGAGUGGAGAGAAUCGAUCUAGGGCAAAAAAGACAUUAAAUGAUGAUGUAAACAUUAUUCUCACAAGCUAUUCUAGUUUGACCUGAGACAGCAUUCUGCGUACUUUGAAGAAAGUUGAUUAACACGUAGGACUGAGCAAACAAAUGGACAGGCAAGCAAGAGAGGGGUGAGAUGAGAAAAGUUGGGUGAAUGAGGGUGAACGACGUGGUCGUUGCCUUCCUAUGACACUGGUUGUAAGAAUUUGAACUGUGCGGCCAUUUCCUGCUCUGUAGAAAGAUACUUCACAAAAUACUGUUUCCACCCAAUUCUCUACCACAGAUAGACACAAUCUGAGUGUCUCUAUCUAAAUUCUUGGAAAAAAUGGGUCAGAGUGGCAUAAAUUUCAGAUUAGAAACAAAAUACACCCAAGUAAUGCAGAUUUCUAAAAUCCAAGAUCAACCUUGAUGGACCUGUGUUCAAAAUAUUAGUGUAACCUCCCCAGCAAGUUUUGUUACAUGAUGUUAUUUUAGAGCAUGGCAAACAACUCCUAGAACUGAUCAUUGGAAUUUUUCUUAACAAUUUGCAAUACAGAAGGCCUGGCAAAACUCUUCGUUGCUCUACCAUAACCAUUAAUAUGUUGUGCUUUGGGAUAGCCAAUUAAUUUUAUAGCCAAAGCUAAUUAAGCCAGAAUUAAUUGCACUAUAAUACAUAUAUAAGAAACGGGAAAUGUUAAGUUGAAAGGGAACCAAGAAGUUUUUCCAAGUUUGACUCUCUUCUUUUUGAAUACAACCAUAUGAUACAUUCCUCUUUUUUCUUCUCUGUACGAAAGCAGGGUAAUUCUGGUGGUUCUGUUUUGCUGUCUUUGAGGGUUUGUUUCUAAAACUAGCAUAAGCAAUUUGAAAAUGUUUCUUUUUUUUUAUUCCUGAGGGAAAGCAAGGGUCUCUGGAAAGCAUGCUCUCCUUUAAAACUGACGAAUGUUAAGAUUAUCUACAUCAUUAAUGAGCACAAGUGGCUUGAAAUAUUAUACAGGGCAAUCUGUUCUUCUUAAGGGCAGGACCAGGAACAUAGCAACGGGCAAAAUAAAUCCAUUCCUAAUAACAAAUGAACAACCAUGGAAGAAAAGUGCUGAGAUCUCUUCCUAGCACAAAACAAGAAACUAAACUAUUGAAGGAAAACAACUAUUGCUAGUUCUAAAACUCAUGUAAACAGGAUUCUGAGCCUCACUUUCACUGUGAUUUUCCAAACCUUUGGGAAACUGACUUUCUCAGCUGGGCCUGCUGAAAGCACACAUAUAAUGGACUUUAUUAAGUAGUUAAAAUUGAGGUUAUGACUACUCAUGAACAACUUUAGCUAGUGGAGGUUUUGGGUAGCAUUGUUUUAUAUAGGUCAAAGGCCAUUAAAAAAUAAACUCUGAGAUCUCAUAACAAAAUAUACGUGAAGAUCUUUUUGAAUGUUUAAUAUGCAUGGCCAAUGUAAGAAAGUAUUGUUCCGUGUCAACAUAGGCUGAACAUAUGACCAGGGGCUUGGGACUGCAAUUUGGAUGCAACUCACAGUGAUAGUUAUUCUAAAUGAUAAUAACCAGUACAUGUACCCUUUGCCAUUGAAUUUGAAUAAGGAGAAAGGGGAGAAAAGAAAAUUUGUAUUAGUUAAUAUUUGAUUUUCAGAUAACAGGAACCCAAGUCCCACUAAAUAAAGGACGUUUAUUGGCUCAUGUAAAACUUCAAGUCCAGAUAGGGAGCUGGACCCAGAGAACUGAGUAUCAUUUGGUAUCUCUCCCUCUCUCGUUCUCUUUCUCUGUUGGCCUCAUCUUUUUCCACUACCAAUGUUCCUUCUUCAACACAUAGGAAAGAUGAUGGUGUAUUUUUCUUUAGAGAAAAAGAACAUGUAUAUGUUCACAUAUAUGUGUAUCUUUAUCUACACCUGUCAUAAUGGCUAAAAUUGAUGACACAAGAAGGAACAGGUGUUAGAGAAGAUGUUGAGAAAGGGGACCCCUCUUGCACUGGUGCAGCCACACUCUGGAGAACAGUAUGGAGAUUCCUCAAAAGUUAAAAGAUGGAACUACUCUAUGGCCCAGCAAUUGCACUACUAGGUAUUUAUCCAAAGAAUAUAAAAAUACAAAUUUGAAGGGGUACGUGCCUCCCAAUGUGUAUAGUAGCAUUAUCAACAAUAGCCAAACUAUGUAUGGAGAGAGCCCAAAUGUCCAUCCACUGAUGAGUGGAUAAAAAAGAUAUGGGGUGCCUGGGUGGCUCAGUCAGUUAAGUGUCCAACUCUUGGUUUAUGGCUCAGGUUGUGAUCUCAGGGUCUUGAGAUCAAACCCUGUGCCAGGUUCCACACUCAGCACUGAGUCUGCUUGAGAUUCUCUUUCCCUCUCCCUCUGCCCUUCCCACUUGUGCAUGCUCUCUCUAAAAUAAGUAAAUAAAUCCUGAAAAAAAAAAAGAAAGAAAAUGUGGUGUAUAUAUAUAUCAAUGGAAUAUUACUCAGCCAUUAAAAAAUGAAUACUUGCCAUUUGCAACAACAUGGAUGGAGCUAGAGUGUUUUAGAAGUCAGUCAGAGAAAGACAAAUACCAUACAAUCUCACUCAAAUGUGGAAUUUAAGAAAGAAAACAGAUGAAUGUAUAGGAAGAGGGAAAGGAAAAAAAGGAGAGCAGGAAACAAGCCAUAAGAGACUCUCAAUGUUAAAAAACAAACAGGAUUGGUGGAGGGAGGUGGGUGGGGGAUGGGCUUGAUGAUUAUUAAGGAGGGCACUUGUUGUGAUGAGCACUGGGUGUUGUAUAUAAGUGAUUAAUCACUGAAUUCUAUUCCAGAAACCAAUAUUGCAAUAUGUUCACUGAAAUUUAAAUUUUAAAAAAAAGGAAAAAAAAAUUUUAAAGGAAUUGACUCAGAAUUGUGGAUGCUGGUAUCCAAACUCUGCAGGAUGGGCAGACAGGGUAGAGAACCAGGGAAGAGCCAAUGUUACAGUUCAAGUUCAAAGGCCAUCAGGCUGCAGAAUUUCCUCUUUUGGGUGGUACAUCAGUCUUUUCACUAUUCAGACCUUCAAAUAAUUAGAUGAACCCCACCCACAUCAUAGAGGUCAAUCUGCUUUACUGAAGUCCACUUAUUUAAAUGUUAAUAUCGUCUAAAUCUUCCUCACAGAAACUUCCAGAAUAUUUGAACAAAAAUCUGGGUACCGUGGUUCAAUCAAGUUGACACAUAAAAUUAACCUUUACAAAUUAUUUCCAACAAUCCUAGGUAUCAGCAUUCCAAAUUAACAAAGAAAGUUUUUUUCUCCUAGCGUCCAUAUACCAAGCCCAAAGAAAGACCUUGAUUAGACAUGCUAUUAUCCCAUGACCAUCCCGGAAAUGCCACUUCUAUGGUUGACAGAUCCACUAAAACCUCAUGAAAUGGCAAAGGGGCAUUGGAAACCCUUUGUAACUGUUCUGCCAUAUUGUUUACUGAGCGUAUGACUACAUGGGACAUACGAAGCCAUCUUGUAGAUGGGUCGGUGUUAUGUAAAUCCCCAUCCUCUAUGGUGUGGGAUAAGAGAUAUGUGGUAGGGUAGGCAGAGAAAAGCCCAUCUUUAAGUAUGGGGGAAGAAAGUGUGUUUCAACUGUAUAAUCUAUGACCCUUUCAUUGAUCACCACCUAAACUCAUUCCA